CCUACGGGAGGCAGCAGUGGGGAAUUGUUCACAAUGGGCGCAAGCCUGAUGACGCAACGCCGCGUGGAGGAUGAAGGUCUUCGGAUCGUAAACUCCUGUUGCCCGGGACGAAAAGUUUCGACCUAACACGUCGAAGUCUGACGGUACCGGGUGAGGAAGCCCCGGCUAACUCUGUGCCAGCAGCCGCGGUAAUACAGAGGGGGCAAGCGUUGUUCGGAAUUACUGGGCGUAAAGGGCGCGUAGGUGGCCUUCUAAGUCGAACGUGAAAUCCCUGGGCUCAACCCAGGAACUGCGCCCGAGACUGGGAGGCUUGAAUCCGGGAGAGGGAUGCGGAAUUCCAGGUGUAGCGGUGAAAUGCGUAGAUAUCUGGAGGAACACCGGUGGCGAAGGCGGCAUCCUGGACCGGUAUUGACACUGAGGCGCGAAAGCCAGGGGAGCAAACGGGAUUAGAUACCCCGGUAGUCCUGGCCCUAAACGAUGAAUGCUUGGUGUGGCGGGUAUCGAUCCCUGCCGUGCCGAGCUAACGCAUUAAGCAUUCCGCCUGGGGAGCGGUCGCAAGGCUGAACUCAAAGGAAUUGACGGCUGAGAGNGCGACGCGACGACGAGGGAGAGG
rnacentral:rRNA from 1 species